rnacentral:rRNA from 1 species
AUGCGAGUCGAGAGAUUUCGGAUCUCGGCAGACGUCUCAGUAACACGCGGAUAAUCUGCCCUUGAGUGGAGGAUAAUCUCGGAAACCUGAGCAUAAUACUCCAUAGGCCUAGGAUGCUGGAAUGCUUUUAGAAUGAAAGCCUUGGCAGGAUGAGUCUGCGGCCUAUCAGGUUGUAGUGAGUGUAACGGACUCACUAGCCGACGACGGGUACGGGUCCUGAAAGGGAGUGCCCGGAGAUGGACUCUGAGACACGAGUCCAGGCCCUACGGGGCGCAGCAGCUACGAAAACUUCACAAUGCGGGGAACCGCGAUGAGGGAAUUCCAAGUGCUUAUACUUUGUAUAAGCUGUUUACUUGCCUAAAAAGCAGGUAGAGUAAGGGCUGGGUAAGACUGGUGCCAGCCGCCGCGGUAAUACCAGCAGCUCGAGUGGUGAUCGUUUUUAUUGGGCCUAAAGCGUCCGUAGCCGGUCUAGUAAACCCUUGGGUAAAUCGGGCAGCUUAACUGUUCGAAUUCUGAGGAGACUGCUAGACUUGGGACCGGGAGAGGUCAGAGGUACUCCUAGGGUAGGGGUGAAAUCCUGUAAUCCUAGGAGGACCACCAGUGGCGAAGGCGUCUGACUAGAACGGGUCCGACGGUAAGGGACGAAGCCCUGGGUCACGAACCGGAUUAGAUACCCGGGUAGUCCAGGGUGUAAACGCUGCGGGCUUGGUGUUGGGGGUCCUACGAGGGCGUCCAGUGCCGGAGAGAAGUUGUUAAGCCCGCCGCCUGGGGAGUACGGUCGCAAGACUGAAACUUAAAGGAAUUGGCGGGGGAGCACAGCAACGGGUGGAGCGUGCGGUUUAAUUGGAUUCAACGCCGGAA